AAUGAACGCUAGCGGCAGGCCUAACACAUGCAAGUCGAGGGGUAGAGGAAGCUUGCUUCCUUGAGACCGGCGCACGGGUGCGUAACGCGUGUGCAAUCUACCUUUUACAGAGGGAUAGCCCAGAGAAAUUUGGAUUAAUACCUCAUAGUAUAUAUCAUUCGCCUGUUUGAUAUAUUAAAGUUCCAACGGUAAAAGAUGAGCAUGCGUCCCAUUAGUUAGUUGGUAAGGUAACGGCUUACCAAGACGAUGAUGGGUAGGGGUCCUGAGAGGGAGAUCCCCCACACUGGUAGUGAGAAACGGACCAGACUCCUACGGGAGGCAGCAGUGAGGAAUAUUGGUCAAUGGACGCAAGUCUGAACCAGCCAUGCCGCGUGCAGGAAGACGGUCCUAUGGAUUGUAAACUGCUUUUGUACGGGAAGAAACACUCCUACGUGUAGGAGCCUGACGGUACCGUAAGAAUAAGGAUCGGCUAACUCCGUGCCAGCCGCCGCAGUAAAAC
rnacentral:rRNA from 1 species